GACGUAGGGCGCGAGCGUUGUCCGGAUUUACUGGGCGUAAAGAGCGCGCAGGCGGUCGGAUAAGUCGAAUGUGAAAGCCCCCGGCUCAACUGGGGAGGGUCAUUCGAUACUGUUCGACUCGAAGGCAGGAGAGGGAAGUGGAAUUCCCGGUGUAGUGGUGAAAUGCGUAGAUAUCGGGAGGAACACCAGUGGCGAAGGCGACUUCCUGGCCUGUUCUUGACGCUGAGGCGCGAAAGCUAGGGGAGCAAACGGG
rnacentral:rRNA from 1 species